GACGAACGCUGGCGGCGUGCCUAACACAUGCAAGUCGAGCGAAUGAAAUUCCUUCGGGAAUGGAUUUAGCGGCGGACGGGUGAGUAACACGUGGGCAACCUGCCUCAUAGAGGGGAAUAGCCUUCCGAAAGGGAGAUUAAUACCGCAUAAGAUUGUAGUACCGCAUGAUACAGCAAUUAAAGGAGCAAUCCGCUAUGAGAUGGGCCCGCGGCGCAUUAGCUAGUUGGUGAGGUAACGGCUCACCAAGGCGACGAUGCGUAGCCGACCUGAGAGGGUGAUCGGCCACAUUGGGACUGAGACACGGCCCAGACUCCUACGGGAGGCAGCAGUGGGGAAUAUUGCACAAUGGGGGAAACCCUGAUGCAGCAACGCCGCGUGAGUGAUGACGGCCU
rnacentral:rRNA from 1 species